rnacentral:lncRNA from 1 species
GAAGAAAUGAGACAAGGGAAGAAUUCCUCGAAUUUUAGGAUUGUGUUCUUGAAGGCUGGAGAGCGUUUAGUAAAUAUAGAACGACUGCAAAUACAGGUAUUUUUACUGACUCAGGGUGCACAGCCCCAAGCACAGUUGAUUCACAGUUCCUUGGUGCAUCUUUUCUGUUGGAGAAACCAGGACAGACUGAGAUGAACAUUUUUGUCUUGAUUUCAAACUCAAGUGAGGAAGACUGAUCUGCCCAGCUCGGGCCAGAGUUAUCACUCAAUAACUCAUGUGAUCACAAACUUAAUAGAACUGAUUUUAUAUUUUCGAA